rnacentral:rRNA from 1 species
GACGAACGCUGGCGGCGUGCUUAACACAUGCAAGUCGAACGGAAAGGCCCUGCUUUUGUGGGGUGCUCAAGUGGCGAAAGGGUGAGUAACACGUGAGUAACCUGCCCUUGACUUUGGGAUAACUUCAGGAAACUGGGGCUAAUACCGGAUAGGAGCUCCUGCUGCAUGGUGGGGGUUGGAAAGUUUCGGCGGUUGGGGAUGGACUCGCGGUUUAUCAGCUUGUUGGUGGGGUAGUGGCUUACCAAGGCUUUGACGGGUAGCCGGCCUGAGAGGGUGACCGGCCACAUUGGGACUGAGAUACGGCCCAUACUCCUACGUGAGGCAGCAGUGGGGAAUAUUGCACAAUGGGCGGAAGCCUGAUGCAGCAACGCCGCGUGCGGGAUGACGGCCUUCGGGUUGUAAACCGCUUUCGCCUGUGACGAAGCGUGAGUGACGGUAAUGGGUAAAGAAGCACCGGCUAACUACGUG